CAGCCGCCACGGGAAUACGUAGGGUGCGAGCGUUAAUCGGAAUUACUGGGCGUAAAGCGUGCGCAGGCGGUUGUGUAAGACAGGUGUGAAAUCCCCGGGCUUAACCUGGGAACUGCGCUUGUGACUGCACAGCUAGAGUAUGGCAGAGGGGGGUGGAAUUCCACGUGUAGCAGUGAAAUGCGUAGAUAUGCGGAGGAACACCGAUGGCGAAGGCAAUCCCCUGGGCCUGCACUGACGCUCAUGCACGAAAGCGUGGGGAGCAAACAGGAUUAGAUACCCCCGUAGUCCCUGUCUCUUAUAC
rnacentral:rRNA from 1 species